rnacentral:tRNA from 1 species
GGGGCUGUAGCUCAAUGGUAGAGCACUUGCCUAGCAUGUGUGAGGCACUGGGUUUGAUCCCCAGCACCA